UCCGCUUUAAAAUGAACCUUCCUGCACCUACCCACCCACCCACCCGAGCAUAUGCUUCAACAGGAAUCACACAAGGGUAGAUUAGAAACCUCUCGUAAAAAUCCCGUCCAUAAUCCAACAGCAAAAGUACAUUACAUAGUCCAAGGUUUUGGCCACUUACCCAUUCAGUGAUUCCUACAUCCCUUGAUGGGUUCUUCCAAUUAUAAAUUGAACAGAAAGAGUGGAUAAAUUAGUGAAUGGACCUAGCUGGAUAAAGAGUUAGCAAAGAUGGAUUUCACAUGUUGAUCAGUUUUUUCACUUAAUUCCCUUUCCAUUACUGAAAAUCCAAAUAUAAUAACUUUAAAUCAAAAGAAAAUCAAGCAAAAACUAUGCAGCGAUUCCAAGUUCUUCAUAAAAGGAUGACUUGACUUUAGCGCAAU
rnacentral:lncRNA from 1 species